AUUAUGUUAAAAAAAUCAAUUUAAAUUACAAAAUAUCGGUGUUCGAAAUUUUUUAUUUAGUUUUUUCUACUUUACGAAAUGGAUUUUUUCUAAACCGUGAAACACACAAAGAAAUAAACAAAACUCUAGUAGUACAUCAAUACAUUAAUUAUUCAUUUUUUAUUUUAAUACAUCUCAACUGAGUUUGAUGAAGCACCGUCAGUACCUGAUUGACGUCAGGGUUUGGUGUAAGGAUCAUAUAUUAAGCAACAUAACCUGGCCAUAUAUCAUGGAAGUAAACUCAACACAGGAUGGUGAUAUGUUCAGUAUUGUCAGCUAAUUACCAUAUACAAAUGAUGCAGUAUGAGUACAAAUGACAUUAGGUUAACAAGUUACAGCUUACUAGAUUUGUUGAACUCUGCAUGGAACGAUACGUAUGCGAGAGAUAUGUACACUUUUUGAAUAAGUGAUAUAGAUUAAACUAGAGUGGUGGACUACAGUUCAAAUGUCAAUUAUAAAACGGAAAUAUCAAUUCAAAUCGAAAGGUCCACAUGAGUCGUAACAAAAUUGCAAAAGAUAGUGUCAAAUCCAACAAGUUAAUAAUGUAAACGAGAGAUGACAGUUUAACACGUUGAUAUUGACUAAACAUAUAUACA